GAUGAACGCUGGCGGCGUGCCUAAUACAUGCAAGUCGAGCGAACAGAUGAGGAGCUUGCUCCUCUGACGUUAGCGGCGGACGGGUGAGUAACACGUGGAUAACCCACCUAUAAGACUGGGAUAACUUCGGGAAACCGGAGCUAAUACCGGAUAAUAUAUUGAACCGCAUGGUUCAAUAGUGAAAGACGGUUUUGCUGUCACUUAUAGAUGGAUCCGCGCCGCAUUAGCUAGUUGGUAAGGUAACGGCUUACCAAGGCAACGAUGCGUAGCCGACCUGAGAGGGUGAUCGGCCACACUGGAACUGAGACACGGUCCAGACUCCUACGGGAGGCAGCAGUAGGGAAUCUUCCGCAAUGGGCGAAAGCCUGACGGAGCAACGCCGCGUGAGUGAUGAAGGUCUUCGGAUCGUAAAACUCUGUUAUUGGGGAAGAACAAAUGUGUAAGUAACUAUGCACGUCUUGACGGUACCUAAUCAGAAAGCCACGGCUAACUACGUG
rnacentral:rRNA from 1 species